CGCAGUUUUAGUUCAUGUGCAAGGCCCCCGCUCUCCUCACCCCCGUGCGGGGCUGCACCAGUUAUAAAAUGCCAUUUGGCGCUGCUGGGAAUUGGCGCAGCCAUUGAAUUUCUCCUCCACCGCAGCCCUCGCCUCCUCCAAGCGAGGUGGGUGCUCUUCUCUUUGAAACCGGAUUAUUGGAAUGUUUUGUCUACAAGCUACAAACAACAGACCCCCUCGGACGAGAGGAGCUUAGGUGUGAUCCCGGCUGCUGUAACGCACCUUUGCUCACUGCGUUCGGGGAUAAAGGUCUGAAAGAUGCACCGUUUCUUCCCCGUUUCAACCCAAAAGUGCCCAAAUCGGACGACUUCUUUCUUCUUCCCCCCUCCCCCCCCCCCCAACCCCCUCUUCUUGCUCUCCCGUCCUUUUUAUUUGCUGCUCUUAUCGCAUGGGCAGGCAGCGGGGUUUUAAAAAUAGAGAUGCUAUCGAUUAGAGGAGGAAAAUGGUUACCUCGGCUAUUAGCUGUUAAUUAAGGAGCCUCCGUCCCUGAGUGCUGUGUUCUCCCGGGUUUG
ensembl:lncRNA